CUUGUACUCUCUCCGUCCGAAAAUACUUGUCAUUGAAAUGGAUGUAUCUAGAUGUAUUUUAGUUCUAGACACAUCCAUUUUGAUGACAAGUAAUUCCGGACGAAGGGAGUACUUG
rnacentral:pre_miRNA from 1 species